CCUACGGGAGGCAGCAGUGGGGAAUUUUGGACAAUGGGCGAAAGCCUGAUCCAGCAAUGCCGCGUGCAGGAUGAAGGCCUUCGGGUUGUAAACUGCUUUUGUACGGAACGAAACGGUCUUUUCUAAUACAGAAGGCUAAUGACGGUACCGUAAGAAUAAGCACCGGCUAACUACGUGCCAGCAGCCGCGGUAAUACGUAGGGUGCAAGCGUUAAUCGGAAUUACUGGGCGUAAAGCGUGCGCAGGCGGUUAUGUAAGACAGUUGUGAAAUCCCCGGGCUCAACCUGGGAAUUGCAUCUGUGACUGCAUAGCUAGAGUACGGUAGAGGGGGAUGGAAUUCCGCGUGUAGCAGUGAAAUGCGUAGAUAUGCGGAGGAACACCGAUGGCGAAGGCAAUCCCCUGGACCUGUACUGACGCUCAUGCACGAAAGCGUGGGGAGCAAACAGGAUUAGAUACCCUGGUAGUCCACGCCCUAAACGAUGUCAACUGGUUGUUGGGUCUUCACUGACUCAGUAACGAAGCUAACGCGUGAAGUUGACCGCCUGGGGAGUACGGCCGCAAGGUUGAAACUCAAAUGAAAUUGACGG
rnacentral:rRNA from 1 species